UCAGUGUUCCCUGACUAGUGAGAAGAGAAAGGGGGGGUAGAACAUUCCCGUCCCCCUUUGAUUUGAUCUCCAUGAUGACUCUUUCCUUUUCCUGACGCAUGGCAACCCCAGGACUAGGGAUUUCAUGCCAGAGAAUCUUGGUACUUGAUCCUACAGGAUUUGGAACCCUAUGUUGCUACUGAGUCCUCUGCAGCAGAUAAUAUCAGAAACCUACACCCUGCCUAUUGUGUUAAAAGCAAGAAAACAUCUGGAUCUACAGCUUAGUAUAUGACAGUGGACAAUGGAGGAGCUGCGUGGGCAGACAAUCAGACUGCUGCAGAUGUAAAGGUGGAAAGUGUUCUGGAUUUUGAAGACUAUGAACGCUUCAUACUAGAAACAGAGGACACAAUGAGGAUGAGCAUCCACAAACAUCCUCGUUGCUGUGCAUCUAAAGAUAGAUGACCUGAAGAAGAAUGCUCCUGUCAUAUGAUAAAUAUCCUUUCUAACAUAUUUGUGGUGUUAAUCGUUGUUCAGACCAUCGUAAAUUGAUAAGAUGGAAAGACUGUGGAAAAUGGCAGGAUGAGAUGCCACAUCCUUCAACAUGGACUCGUUGAGACAUUUGAUUUCAGCAACUUCACCCUGGAGACAUCCUUUAAAAUGAUUUUGUUGAAAAAUGGAAACGUUAAGGCCAGCAGCAGAAUGUCCUGGGUGUGUUCUCGUACUGGUAUGUGAAAGUUGCCAUCCAGAUAUGAGCUGAAUGGCAGAACACGACUGCCACUCUGGAAGAUGAAGAUGUAGUGUUUCAGAUGAAGGCACGGGCAAAGGCUUUCCAGUGGGGGCUUGUGGCCCUUUCAGAGAGGGAAUUCACCACUAAGUGCAAUCUCAUGAUUGGCAUCACUAUGUGGAUCUAAGUUACAACCUUCCACACUGAGGACAACAUUCUCAUUUUGGAUGGUUAUAUUGUCUUCACAUUUCUGAAAAACGGUAAUCUGCUUUUAACCUGAGAUUUAACUGCUGCUGCUCCAUGAAGCCAAUAUUGUAAGCUGCAUAUUUUAUUCAUACAGUUGUUAGUGUAAUUGAUGAACCUAUUUUAAGAAUAUGCUCCCAAAGUGAAGUAAUGCAUAUGAGCCAAUUAAGAAGAGCAGGUGACCAUGAAGAAAAAAAAAGUAAAAAGCUUGGAGAACUUGCAAGUCUUGAAGAACUGGUCUUUAAUAAGGUGGUGCUGAUAACUGCUGUCUUCUUUAACAGUCUUACUUCCUUGACUUGACAAAAGGAGUAUGACUGGCGUUAGUGUUACCUCCAUUUCGGCACCAGGUCAAAACAUAUUUAUUUGCCCAUUUUAACGUAGAAGUUUUAGGGUAUAUUCUAUUCUGCUUGUUUUAACUUCCUCUGUUUGUUCAUGAUUAUGUAGUUUUAUUAUAUUUUGGGGGCUAGAUUAGCUUUGAUUAUGAUGUGCGGUUUAAAUGAGUAAGUAAUUAAGUAAAUAAAUACCAAGACUAUCACUUUGGAAGAAAUAACAGACCUAAAAUUACAUGAGGAUGAAAUAAUGGCUAUCAGCAAGAGCCAAACUGGAGUCUCAAAUGGGAAGAACUUCCUGAGGGGUAGCUGUAAACAGUGGUAGUGUGUUGUAGCACAAAAAAUAAAGAGCCUUGUGGCAUCUGUUAAAGACUA